UCCAGACUCCUACGGGAGGCAGCAGUGGGGAAUAUUGCACAAUGGGGGAAACCCUGAUGCAGCGACGCCGCGUGAGUGAAGAAGCGCCUCGGCGCGUAAAGCUCUGUCAGCAGGAACGAUAAUGACGGUACCUGAAGAAGAAGCCCCGGCUAACUACGUGCCAGCAGCCGCGGUAAUACGUAGGGGGCAAGCGUUAUCCGGAUUUACUGGGUGUAAAGGGAGCGUAGACGGCGCUGCAAGUCCGGAGUGAAAGUCCAUGGCUUAACCAUGGUACUGCUCUGGAAACUGUGGAGCUUGAGUGCGGGAGGGGCAGGCGGAAUUCCUAGUGUAGCGGUGAAAUGCGUAGAUAUUAGGAGGAACACCGGCGGCGAAGGCGGCCUGCUGGACCGUAACUGACGUUGAGGCUCGAAAGCGUGGGGAGCAAACAGGAUUAGAUACCCCGGUAACA
rnacentral:rRNA from 1 species